GAUGAACGCUAGCGGCAGGCUUAAUACAUGCAAGUCGAGGGGCAGCAUGAGUAGCAAUACUUGAUGGCGACCGGCAAACGGGUGCGGAACACGUACAGAACCUUCCUUCGAGCGGGGAAUAGCCCGGAGAAAUCCGGAUUAAUACCCCAUAGUAAAUUGAAAAGGCAUCUUUUUAAUUUUAAAGAUUUAUCACUUGAAGAUGGCUGUGCGCCUGAUUAGGUAGUUGGCGGGGUAACGGCCCACCAAGCCUUCGAUCAGUAACUGGUGUGAGAGCACGACCAGUCACACGGGCACUGAGACACGGGCCCGACUCCUACGGGAGGCAGCAGUAAGGAAUAUUGGUCAAUGGACGCAAGUCUGAACCAGCCAUGCCGCGUGGAGGAUGAAGGUCCUCUGGAUUGUAAACUUUCUUUUUAUUUGGGAAGAAAUGCUAUUUUUUCUAAAGUGCUUGACGGUACCAGAUGAAUAAGCACCGGCUAACUCCGUGCCAGCAGCCGACGGU
rnacentral:rRNA from 1 species